UAUCAAUGUCAUUAAAGGGUGAAAUUCUCUAUUGUAUUGUCAUUGUAAACUGAGGUCGCUGAAUGAACAAGUGUCCAACCAAUAAUUUAUUAAAAAUCUCACCACCAAAAGAUCGAACCGUUCAACAAAACUACCUGCAACACAGCCAUGGCAGUAUACGAUAACAACAUUUUGAACAUUUCUGUGAAUAUGCCAGCAAUAAGAAGUUUGAGCAACAAUAGCGGAAAUUUUACUUCCAACUCUCGAUAUUGUCACAUUGCAAACUGUUCUUCAAACAAUGGAUACGUUUCAGUUGCAUCUUCUUCUACAGUUGGCACAAUUCGAAGAAACAUGGGAAACAUUUUAUUGAUGUACGGAACUAAUGUUGGCUCGAUCUACCAGAACUGCGGAAAUUGUACUUUGAUGGAAUGUGGAAGCGCCGGUGUCAUUGAUCGUAAUGUAGGAAGUGUCACUCUAAGCGAAAGAAAUAGCAUUGGCGUAAUUGACCACAAUUCGGGAAUAGUUGAUGUUAAGGCCAGUUGCGAUAUUUGCAAAAUAAAAGCCAACUUUGGAACAAUUACCAUUCAGGACAACUGUACAAUCGGUGUUAUCGAAGGCAAUAACGGAAUGAUCAAACUUGGCAACAAUUGAGUCGUGAAAAGUAUUAUUGGUAGUGGAGGCAAUCUACAAUGGGGCUUCGGUUCGAAUGUGCCGCCAGCUCAACAGACUCCAACUGAAGGUCCAUCGAUCCCACUUUACUUGAUUAGUUCCGCUAACGUCAACGAUGUUACAGGAGCACAAACUUUCAACUGCAUUCAACCUCUUCAAUCGAGCGGUCGUUCUUUUGACGUUAACAGAAUUGACAUGAACCAUCAUACAGUAACAGGAACACAACACUUUGCCUACUCAAUACCACAGCAUCUUCAACAGCCUCCGUCACCAGCACCACUUAGUCCACCGAAUCCAGAAGAGGAGGAUCAAUCCAUCUGCGAAGAAUUGAUCUGCGCUAUUUGUAUGGUUAACAAAAAGAACAUUGUAUUCAAUUGCGGCCACACGAGCUGUGACAGUUGCUCUGGCGCAUUGAUUUAUUGCCACAUCUGUCGACAGAAUAUUCUUCAAAAGAUUAAACUUUAUCUUUAACUUGCUUGAGCAACUGACGACUAUGACUAGUAUUAUUGUACCUGGGCAAGUUACACCACACUACACUAGACAAUAAGUUAGCACCGAUAUGCCAAUUUGUAUUAUACUGUUAUAUAGAAUUAAACC